GCGAGUGAAGCGGCAAAAGCUCAAAUUUGAAAUCUAGCACCUUCGGUGUUCGAGUUGUAAUUUGAAGAUGGCAACCUUGGGUUUGGCUCUUGUCUAUGUUCCUUGGAACAGGACGUCAUAGAGGGUGAGAAUCCCGUCUGAUGAGAUGCCCAUUCCUUUGUAAGGUGCUAUCGAAGAGUCGAGUUGUUUGGGAAUGCAGCUCUAAGUGGGUGGUAAAUUCCAUCUAAAGCUAAAUAUUGGCGAGAGACCGAUAGCGAACAAGUACAGUGAUGGAAAGAUGAAAAGAACUUUGAAAAGAGAGUGAAAAAGUACGUGAAAUUGUUGAAAGGGAAGGGCAUUAGAUCAGACUUGGUGUUUUAUGAUUAUCUUCUCUUCUUGAGUUGUGCACUCGUAUUUCACUGGGCCAGCAUCGAUUCGGAUGGCAAGAUAAUAACAGUUGAACGUGGCUUCAUUCGUGGAGUGUUAUAGCUUCUGUUGAUAUUGCCUGUCUGGAUCGAGGGCUGCGUCUUUGACUAGGAUGCUGGCGUAAUGAUCUAAUGCCGCCC
rnacentral:rRNA from 1 species